UGGGGAAUAUUGGACAAUGGGGGCAACCCUGAUCCAGCAAUGCCACGUGUGCGAAGAAGGCCUUCGGGUUGUAAAGCACUUUAGUGAGGGAGGAAGGUUGUAGUGUUAAUACCACUAUGAUUUGACAGUACCUCAAGAAUAAGCACCGGCAAACUCUGUGCCAGCAGCCGCGGUAAUACAGAGGGUGCAAGCGUUAAUCGGAAUUACUGGGCGUAAAGGGCUUGUAGGCGGCUAAUUAAGUUAGAUGUGAAAUACCUGAGCUCAACUUGGGAAUGGCAUUUAAUACUGGUUGGCUAGAGUAUAGUAGAGGAAAGGGGAAUUUCCGGUGUAGCGGUGAAAUGCGUAGAUAUCGGAAAGAACAUCAGUGGCGAAGGCGCCUUUCUGGACUAAUACUGACGCUGAGGAGCGAAGGCGUGGGGAGCAAACAGG
rnacentral:rRNA from 1 species